rnacentral:ncRNA from 1 species
AUCAGGGGCUCUGAAACGACGAGCUCCCGGUGCCUGCGCCGAUACGCCCUCGGCCUCCACCGUGUUGAUCUGCCCACAAGGCGGCUUGACGAGAUUGCGACUGGAACGAAGUUGUCCUGAGGGACGGGGAAGCGUUUACGUAUCAGCCAGAUCGAAAGAUCUCGACAGCGAGUCGCCCACCGGCAACCACGAGCCGAACGGCACUUGAUCCAGUCGAGAAGCACGGUCCGCGAACUGUUC